rnacentral:tRNA from 1 species
UAUAGCUCAGUUGUUACAGCACUUGCCUAGCAUGCAAGAGGCCCUGAGUUCAAUCCCCAGUA